GCCCUGGUGGCACAACGGUUAAGCGCUCAGCUGUUAACUGAAAGGUUGGUGGUUCAAAUCCACUCAGUAGCU
rnacentral:tRNA from 1 species